CUUAAUUUAGUUUGAAUUUACAUCGAAGAAGAGAGAGGACGGGAACUAGAAACGCCACCAUCGGAAACUCUGCAACCUCCGCCAAUAAAUAGUGAUUUUUGCAAGAGUGAUCCUUGGAAAACCUGCGAAGGAGCCGUGAUGUGUUUAAUGAGAUGUUUGGUGUAUCAGAGUGUAGGGUUUGUUGCAGGGGCAGUGACUGGGAACUACCUGGGUCAAGUUCUUCACGGUGAGAAGAAAUAUGACACUGCAAUGAUACAGGCCAAGCAAGUUCAACAAAAAUAUGGCAAUGAUGAUGAUAAGAGUGAUUAAAAUACACAGAAUGAUAAGAUUGGGAACAUGAAUAAAGGAUCGUUCGCAUUUUGGAGUCAUGAAUAAUUGAAAUAGAACAAAACUUUUCAACUA